GCCUGCGUAGCUUCAGUUGGUAGAGCAACGGUAUCGUAAACCGUAGGUCGUCGGUUCGAAUCCGACCGCAGGCU
rnacentral:tRNA from 1 species